rnacentral:rRNA from 1 species
GGGCAAUCUGCCCUGCACUCUGGGACAAGCCCUGGAAACGGGGUCUAAUACCGGAUGAUACCCGGGGGCGCAUGCCCUUGGGUUGAAAGCUCCGGCGGUGCAGGAUGAGCCCGCGGCCUAUCAGCUUGUUGGUGGGGUGAUGGCCUACCAAGGCGACGACGGGUAGCCGGCCUGAGAGGGCGACCGGCCACACUGGGACUGAGACACGGCCCAGACUCCUACGGGAGGCAGCAGUGGGGAAUAUUGCACAAUGGGCGAAAGCCUGAUGCAGCGACGCCGCGUGAGGGAUGACGGCCUUCGGGUUGUAAACCUCUUUCAGCAGGGAAGAAGCGAAAGUGACGGUACCUGCAGAAGAAGCGCCGGCUAACUACGUGCCAGCAGCCGCGGUAAUACGUAGGGCGCAAGCGUUGUCCGGAAUUAUUGGGCGUAAAGAGCUCGUAGGCGGCUUGUCACGUCGGUUGUGAAAGCCCGGGGCUUAACCCCGGGUCUGCAGUCGAUACGGGCAGGCUAGAGUGUGGUAGGGGAGAUCGGAAUUCCUGGUGUAGCGGUGAAAUGCGCAGAUAUCAGGAGGAACACCGGUGGCGAAGGCGGAUCUCUGGGCCAUUACUGACGCUGAGGAGCG